GAAAAUAUCUUGUACUAAAAUAUUACAUUUGCGAGAAAGAAGAGAAAUAAAAGGUUAACACAUAGCAGAGAGGAGGGAAACACGAUUGAAGGGGAAAAUCCAGUUUUCUUUGCCUCCCUUUCAGCUUUCAAAUCCGAAAAACCCUAAUUAUCUCUUCCGACUAUGAGCUACCCUAAUUACGACUCCAGAUACGGUGAUUCAGGCUCCUAUCGACAGCGACGAAGUGACCUAAUGGGUCCGCAGCCUUCCAUGUAUCCACGGCCUAUGUCUGAUGGAGGUGCCGCUAGCUACGGCCGUGGUGGGCCGCUUCCUUAUGGAGGUCCUCAGGCAGGGGGUCCACCGCCUAUGGAUGGUGGUUCUAGAGGGGGUAUGGGUGGAUCUGGACGCGUUGGUGGUGGGUAUCCACCUUUUGAGGGUGGGUUUCCAAGAGGGUCGGAUAUAGGCAGGUUUGGAGGUGGAGGAGUUGACAGAGUGGCUAAUGGUGGUAUGGGAGAACGGCCUGGGAGAUUUGGUGCUGGGGCAAGCUACAGUGGAGGUAGGAGUGGUGGUGGGAGAGGAGGUAGGGGUUUUGAUGGAGGCUACAGUGGUGGACGAGGAGGUGGAAGGUUUAGUUCGGACGGAGGACGUGGUAGUAGUGGCGGGAGAGGAGGUAGGCAUGGGAGAUCACGAGAUGAUCUUGACAACCUUACUCUUCCAAAGCAGGACUUUGGAAAUUUGGUACCUUUUGAGAAGAACUUUUAUGUUGAAAAUCAUGCGGUGAGGGCAAUGACAGAUCAGGAGGUUGCUCAUUAUCGUGCACGGCGUGACAUUACCAUUGAAGGACAGGAUGUCCCUAGGCCAAUUCAGAUGUUCCAUGAGGCCAACUUUCCUGAUUAUUGCCUCGAGGUUAUUUCAAGACUAGGAUUUGUUGAGCCAACACCUAUCCAAUCACAAGGAUGGCCAAUGGCUUUAAAGGGCAGAGACUUAAUUGGAAUUGCUGAAACCGGUUCUGGAAAGACUUUGGCAUAUUUAUUGCCUGCUUUGGUCCAUGUCAGUGCACAGCCCCGGUUGGCACAAGGUGAUGGUCCAAUUGUGCUGGUAUUAGCACCUACAAGAGAAUUAGCUGUUCAGAUUCAAGAAGAAGCUGUCAAAUUUGGAUCACGUGCCAACAUAAGAAGUACUUGCAUUUAUGGUGGUGCCCCAAAAGGACCUCAAAUCCGUGACCUUAGAAGAGGAGUUGAAAUUGUGAUAGCAACCCCCGGUCGGUUAAUAGAUAUGCUGGAAGCUCAACAUACGAACCUGAAACGAGUGACAUAUCUUGUAUUGGACGAGGCUGAUCGAAUGCUGGAUAUGGGGUUUGAGCCUCAAAUAAGGAAACUAAUUUCCCAGAUUAGACCAGAUAGACAAACCUUGUAUUGGAGUGCCACUUGGCCCAAGGAGGUUGAAUCACUGGCCAGACAGUUUUUACGUAAUCCCUACAAAGUCAUCAUUGGGUCUCCAGAAUUGAAAGCAAAUCAAUCUAUAAGGCAAGUCAUUGAAGUUGUCACAGAUUUAGAGAAAUAUAGCAGGUUGAUUGGGCUUUUGAAAGAAGUGAUGGAUGGAAGUCGAAUCCUAAUAUUUGUAGAAACAAAGAAAGGAUGUGAUCAAGUCACAAGACAAUUGAGAAUGGAUGGAUGGCCAGCUUUAUCCAUCCAUGGUGAUAAAAGCCAGGAUGAGAGGGAUUGGGUCCUUGCUGAUUUCAAAACUGGAAGAAGUCCCAUAAUGAUUGCCACUGAUGUUGCUGCACGUGGUCUUGGUAGGACCAAUCAUGUUAAGGAUUAGGAUUUUUUUAGUCUGUCCAUUUAGGGCUUUCACAGUAGAGCUAACGAGUCUCCGGCUGCUGUCAACUUUCCUGAGUAAAUAAUCUGUGGUUUGGGCCGAUAGCUAGGGGCACGUUAACCACAAUAACAGUGUUUUUGCACCAUAAGCAGGAGAGAUUAUAGGAUUUAUGGGAUUAGAACCAUUAGUUGAAUUUCAAUAGAACUUCAGCAGGAGCUUAAGUAAACAUGUCACACUCAGGUCCUUACUUUAAAAGCCACCACUAAAAAACCACACUUUGAGUUUAACUGCAAUUUGAUAGGGUUUUGGUUUCAGCUGGUGUUUGAGUUGUUUGAACACCAACUGCAUCUCUCAAAUUGUCCAGACAUUGUUUCAGUUGAUGAAUCUAAUCUCUUGAUAAGAUUUAAGGCAGAAAUUGAUAGUGAUCCCUUUGAAAGGGUAUUAUGUGACCAGCUCUUGAGUAAUCUCUAAAAAGGGAUGUUUAAAUAGGAUGAAACUGCUCGUACAGUGAGUACUAUGGUGAUGUAAUACUCUAUGGGAAUUGGGAAUUGAAGGAUUAUAUACUUCUAAAAAUGAUAAUUCCUUUUUCGGUCUGUAUUGGAUGUUUGGUCAUAAGAAAACGAGAGGUUGGGCAUCUAAUUUCAAAUGUGGGAGUACACCUAUUUAAGUUGGAUAUACUAGAAAAUUAGAGUACCGAAAGAAUCAAUUUGCAAGUUGGUAAAGAGAUCAAUUAGUUUCAGAAAACCCGAGAUCAAGAGUAGGUUACAAAAGGCUGCAUGGUGAGUCCUAUUCUCAUUAGUGGACUUCGUUUACGCAGCCUUGGAAAUUUGUCAUACAAAUUGCAAGUGAUGUCUAAUGUCUGUUGGCUUAGCAUCACACCAAGAACUUGUAGCUUGUUCUUCUGAUUAUCUUAUCCUCACAAUCUAGAAAGAAAUUAAGUUACAAGUAGAAUUACCUGUACAGUUUCUUUUACAUCUAUGGGCUAACUGGGAAUAUGUAUUUUUUUAUUUAUUUAAUUGAAAUCUAUAGGAACUUGUGAGUAUUACACUCAUCACCCCAUGCUUAGAGCGCACAAGCUAACUGAAUAUCUGAUUGCAUUUCUCUCCACACUAGAAAGUUGUUGGGUGGUUAUGAUACUGUUGGGACCGAGUGUUGCACCACUUUGUCUUGCUGAUUAGUGGAGCAUUUGAGCAUUCAAGCUGAAUGAAUGGCCAAUUGCUCUAUUCAACAUUUAGAAAGUAGGAUGGUGGGUAUAAAGGGGAUAUGUGAGUUCUUUCGGCUGAAUUGGUUUUGGGUUUAAAACUAUCGCCAACUGCCUUUGUGAAGAAUAGGCAUAAGAAGGAAACUGGAAACUGGUAUAGAAUGUGACACUUGAAAUUCUAGCUGCUUAUGUCAAAUGAAGGUGUUAAACUGCAUCGUGCAAUUAGUGAAUGAUCAUAAGAGAUGCUCUUCCUCUAUGUGGUUGGAAGAAAAGUAGUGUUUGUUAUACUUUAGGAAUUUUAAGCUUAGGGAGGUGACUUUUUCCCCAAAAGGGUAUGUCUCACGUCAUUUUGUCUAAGUAAGGUCGAGGUUAACGUUGCCCAUCCACAGUUAUGGAGCUGGUUGUCCUGACAGUCCGGUAGACUCAUGCAAGAUUAUUGUGUCACUGGAAUUGAUUUUGCAAGUUCUGGUGGAGCUGCUCCUUAUCCCUGCCAGGUUAAGAUGUCAAAGACAUAAAGUGUGUUAUCAACUAUGAUUUCCCUUCAAGUCUCGAGGAUUAUAUUCAUAGGAUUGGCAGAACUGGACGUGCUGGUGCAACAGGAACUGCCUAUACAUUUUUCACUCACGCAAAUGCCAAGUUUACCAGAGAGCUUAUCAAGAUCCUGCAGCAGGCAGGACAAAUCGUUCCUCCUCAACUUUCUGCAUUAGCAAGGUCUAGUGGUCAUAGCACUGGAGGGAGCAAUUUCAGGUCUAGAGGACGAGGUGGCUUUGGGAACCGGGGACAGAGAUCUGGGUCUAAUGUAAUUCCUAUUGGCGGUUCAAGAAGGCCUUGGUAGUUACUGAGUCUAGUAUAGGAAAUGUAUACUAGACAUAAUUUUGGGAUUUCUCUAUGCUUUUUGCUUACAGUUGAAGCAUAUAGAUUUUAGUUAAACUCAUCUCUUUCCUUUGUUGUCUUGGUCGAGUUGGUUCAUUAAACGGCCAGUUAUUAGGAAUUUGGAUAUGCAGAUGGAGAUAACAUAGUUUGUGCAGGAAUAGAAUAUUAUGCUGUCUGGUGCUAUAUUUAUACCCUUUUAAAUUUAAAUUCA